GAAUAUUGCGCAAUGGGGGAAACCCUGACGCAGCGACGCCGCGUGGAGGACGAAGCCCUUCGGGGUGUAAACUCCUUUCGACGGGGACGAAUUGUCCGGUGUUGAACCGGGCUUGACGGUACCCGUAUAAGAAGCCCCGGCUCACUCCGCGCCAGCCGCCGCGGUAAUACGUAGGGGGCAAGCGUUGCUCUGAAUUACUGGGCGUAAAGGGUCCGUAGGGGGUGCGGUAAGUCGACGGUGAAAUCUCCCGGCUCAACCGGGAGGGGUCCGCCGAAACUGCCGUGCUUGAGGGCCGGAGGGGCGAGUGGAAUUACCGGUGUAGCGGUGAAAUGCGUAGAUAUCGGUAGGAACACCGGAGGCGAAGGCGGCUCGCUGGACGGCACCUGACGCUGAGGGACGAAAGCUGGGGGAGCAAACAGG
rnacentral:rRNA from 1 species